UUAAUAAAGCCAAUCAGAUCUUGGCUUUUCAGAAAUCGAUUGAAUUGAGCUUGCCAUAGCAGAAAGUUCUCUUCAUUCAAUUUGAUAGUAACGAAAUUAGCUAUAUUCACAUGGAUAGGGAAAGGAUACUUCUGCACUCUAGUUGCCAUUCUUAUAUGAUCAGAAACCUUGAAGAUUUGAAGAAAUAACCCAGCAAACUUUGAAGAUCAAUUACUUAAGAAAUCACCAGAAUCUCUAUACUAUCUUGCAGCAAGAACAUAUCAGAUCUAUUACUCCCAGGCAUUCAAGCUCUGAUACCAUGAGAAGAAAUUGAACAUAGAAUACGAUCUGAAUAUGAAAGAGAUUUCAACUCUUGAACAAUCAAUGAAGGUGAAGAGAAUUGCUACAGAUGAUUCCAAGAGAAAACUGAGUUUUAAAGGAUGAAGAUUUUGAUGCCAUGGAUUGCCAGCUCAUUGAUGCCAUGGAUCACCAGCUCAUCAAUUCAUGCCAUGGAUCGCCAGCUCAUCAAUCUUCCUCUGCUCCAGAUUCUUCAGCUAACGACUCUCCUCUGCUCUAGCUUCCUCUGUUCCAGCCUUCUCUGCCUCAGUUACUUCGCUAAGUCUGAUUCUUCCACUAUUAUUAGCUCCUGUGUUUAAUUGCUCUUUUGAUAUCUGUUUUAUCUCUC